UACGAAGGGUGCAAGCGUUACUCGGAAUUACUGGGCGUAAAGCGUGCGUAGGUGGUUUGUUAAGUCUGAUGUGAAAGCCCUGGGCUCAACCUGGGAAUUGCAUUGGAUACUGGCAGUCUAGAGUGCGGUAGAGGGUAGCGGAAUUCCCGGUGUAGCAGUGAAAUGCGUAGAUAUCGGGAGGAACAUCCGUGGCGAAGGCGGCUACCUGGACCAGCACUGACACUGAGGCACGAAAGCGUGGGGAGCAAACAGG
rnacentral:ncRNA from 2 species